AUUGAACGCUGGCGGCAGGCUUAACACAUGCAAGUCGAGCGGGGUGAUGGUGCUUGCACUAUCACUUAGCGGCGGACGGGUGAGUAAUGCUUAGGAAUCUGCCUAUUAGUGGGGGACAACAUUUCGAAAGGAAUGCUAAUACCGCAUACGUCCUACGGGAGAAAGCAGGGGAUCUUCGGACCUUGCGCUAAUAGAUGAGCCUAAGUCGGAUUAGCUAGUUGGUGGGGUAAAGGCCUACCAAGGCGACGAUCUGUAGCGGGUCUGAGAGGAUGAUCCGCCACACGGGGACGGAGACACGGCCCAGACUCCUACGGGAGGCAGCAGUGGGGAAUAUUGGACAAUGGGCGGAAGCCUGAUCCAGCCAUGCCGCGUGUGUGAAGAAGGCCUUAUGGUUGUAAAGCACUUUAAGCGAGGAGGAGGCUACUUUAGUUAAUACCUAGAGAUAGUGGACGUUACUCGCAGAAUAAGCACCGGCUAACUCUGUGCCAGCCGCCGCAGUAACAC
rnacentral:rRNA from 1 species